GUUGACAUAGCAAUGACCUGGGUUGACAAUUUCUAAGCUCUACAAAUAUAAGGAGAUGACUGUGCUUUAUUAGCAGGACUUUUGCCCUCCUGCAGAAAGUCUGCAUGGUUUCAGUCCAGACUGAAUCUACUGAGCAACAGAAGAGACACAUUGCUCAGCAGGAAGACAGAUGUGUGCUUUUCAGCACAGAAGGAAACAGCAUGAAAACAAACAAGCGAGCAAGGAAACCAACAAAUAUAACAACAAAACCGAUUAUGUUGGGAACCUGAGGAAAACUUGAGGAGGAGGAGGACUUGAGAACGUUCUGGCACUGGAAAAUCUUCACUUGAAGGAACCAGAAGACAGGGAAAGAACUACUCCAGGAACAUUUAACAAUCUAGACUCAUCCAGUGUUAUAGUAGGAAGGAACUAGAAAUUCUGGUGUUUGGAAACAUUUUCUUGGUAGAUUUCUUCUUGCUUUGUAUUGUUCUUCAACAUGGUAUAGAAAGCCUGAUACUGAAACAGAAAACUGGGUACUUUUCUUGUUGGAGUGAGGGAGGCAGCAGGGGCUUGUGUCUGUAGAGUCCUCUUGGAUGACUCUCAGUGGUGAAUUCCACAGGACCAAAGGUUUGAAAGAAUGCAAAUUGGGCUCAUUUUCAGAUGAGAAUAAAAGGCCUCAAGGUUCUUAUUAGAAAGAAUCGUUGACCUAUUAAAUAAAAAACAAAUAAAUCCAAUUCAAUGAAUUAAGAUUUUCAAGAGACGUCAGAUGUGGCUCCUGUACUCAUGGACCUUUUCAUCUGUCAAGGAGGAAAGACGUGUAUAAAAACAUGCUUUGGGCCAGGUAUGGUGGCUCACGUCUGUAAUCCCAGCACUUUGGGAGGCCGAGGUGGGUGGAUCACCUGAGGUCAGGAGUUCGAGACCAGCAUGGCCAACAAGGUACUACUCUACUCUACUCUAUCUCUACUAAAAAUACAAAAAUUAGCUGGGCGUGGUGG
rnacentral:lncRNA from 1 species